AUUGAACGCUGGCGGCAGGCCUAACACAUGCAAGUCGAGCGGAUGAAGGGAGCUUGCUCCUGGAUUCAGCGGCGGACGGGUGAGUAAUGCCUAGGAAUCUGCCUGGUAAUGGGGGAUAACGUCCGGAAACGGGCGCUAAUACCGCAUACGUCCUGAGGGAGAAAGUGGGGGAUCUUCGGACCUCACGCUAUCAGAUGAGCCUAGGUCGGAUUAGCUAGUUGGUGGGGUAAAGGCCUACCAAGGCGACGAUCCGUAACUGGUCUGAGAGGAUGAUCAGUCACACUGGAACUGAGACACGGUCCAGACUCCUACGGGAGGCAGCAGUGGGGAAUAUUGGACAAUGGGCGAAAGCCUGAUCCAGCCAUGCCGCGUGUGUGAAGAAGGUCUUCGGAUUGUAAAGCACUUUAAGUUGGGAGGAAGGGCAGUAAGUUAAUACCUUGCUGUUUUGACGUUACCAACAGAAUAAGCACCGGCCAACUUCGUG
rnacentral:rRNA from 1 species